UCCUGCCAGUAGUCAUAUGCUUGUCUCAAAGAUUAAGCCAUGCAUGUYUCAGUACAAGCCAAAUUAAGGUGAAACCGCGAAAGGCUCAUUAAAUCAGUUAUGGUUCCUUAGAUCGUACCCACAAUUACUUGGAUAACUGUGGUAAUUCUAGAGCUAAUACAUGCAAACAGAGCUCCGACCGGAGACGGAAGGAGUGCUUUUAUUAGAUCAAAACCAAUCGGUGGCGGGCUUGCUCGUCAUCGUACAACUUGGUGACUCUGAAUAACUUUACGCUGAUCGCACGGUCAUCGCACCGGCGACGCAUCUUUCAAAUGUCUGCCUUAUCAACUGUCGAUGGUAGGUUCUGCGCCUACCAUGGUUGUAACGGGUAACGGGGAAUCAGGGUUCGAUUCCGGAGAGGGAGCCUGARAAACGGCUACCACAUCCAAGGAAGGCAGCAGGCGCGCAAAUUACCCACUCCCGGCACGGGGAGGUAGUGACGAAAAAUAACGAUACGGGACUCAUCCGAGGCCCCGUAAUCGGAAUGAGUACACUCUAAACCCUUUAACGAGGAUCAAUUGGAGGGCAAGUCUGGUGCCAGCAGCCGCGGUAAUUCCAGCUCCAAUAGCGUAUA
rnacentral:rRNA from 1 species